AGGUCCUGGGAACCCCUGAAGCUGUAGCCGAUUGGUCAAAAGUACAGGUAGCACUUGCUGCCCAGGCAAUAUCGCCACAGGCCCUGGUGGGCGAAGGCCCCCGACAGCCGGUACUGCAUCCAGUGGUCUGUCGCCGUGGCCACCACCAGGAGGAUGGUCCCCACCCAGGCGCAGAAGAGGCCACCACCCAUGAAGCUGUACAUGGUGAUCUGUGGAAUCCAAGGCAGGAUCCCACUGAGUCAUCACAUCCCCUCAGUCGCCUCUGUUCUGCAGCAGUUUCUCAGUC